rnacentral:lncRNA from 1 species
AAGUAAACCAUCAAGGUGGUAAACAUGAGCACACAUGCAGACGUGACUGUAGUUUUGACAGAACCUGACAAACAACAUUGCUCUUUCAAGUGUAGCUAUUUGCCUGUUGGAAUUUAUAAAGACAAACAUUACAGAUCCAAUGAACCAAACUGGUUUAUAGCUGCGCCUGGAUAUUAUUUCAGAGACGGUGAUGUUAUGAUAUUUCUAUGGUACGACGGCAUUUCUGUAAGUAAUAAGUUUGAUGAAGUAUUUUUUUAUUUAUGAAUACAGAUGUUUUAUGUAAUAACUCGGAAAAUAAACUGAAUUCCAGUAUAAUAUAAAAAAAAUAUUAUUUUGAUAUGCAAAUUGGUGUUCCAAACAAAUAAUGAAACAUAUGAAGAUGUGCAUGCAUUUUAAAUCCAAAAUGUUUGGGUUUAUUGGUCCCAUUGCACGUUUCUUUCGUUAUUGUGAAUUAAUCUUUUAUGAAGGGGAAUUAUGUAAUAGAUGUAAAACAUAUAAAAUCUUAACCUAAGAUAAGACUUUUAGGUUUUCAUGUUUUUUUUCAUGUUGAGGUUGCGCAUUUCCUCUGUAUGGAACAACACAUCUGUCUUAUGUGGAACUCUGCUAUUAUGUUAUGUUGGUUUAUAAUUACUUGGUGAUAGUUUGUCUUCACAUUCUAUGGUUUUGAUAUAACUCAAUAUGGAAUACUCAUUACCAUGAUUACAUAAUGAUAUUUCAAUAUUACAUAAUAUGGUUUCGUAUUGACUUGAUAUAGUUUUGUCAUUACUUAGUAUGGUUCUGUCAUUACUCGAUGUGGUUUCACCAUUAUUUAAUGUGGUUGUGUCAUCAGGCAAUGUGGUUUUAACAUUACUUGAUGUGUAUGUGACUUAACGUAAUGAAGUUGUUUCAUUACAUGCUGUGGUUUUGUUAGUUCGUAAUGAUGAUUUGCCAAUUCUUUAUAUGGCUUUAACAUUUUACACUACACGAUUUGUUUUUAUUCGUAUUUAAUGUGGUCAUGUCAUUCUGUGAUGUGUUUAUCCCAUUACUACUACGAGGUGAAACCACGUGACCAUAUUGUAAAAAAAUAUGUUCUAUUUUUAGACCGAUUUCCAUAUGUCGUUUGGAUAAGUACCGCUAUGCAUUAAUUAGUCGAGUUGUUGUUUAGAGUUAUUUGAUAUGUUAAAAAGAGGAACGACAGACAAAAAUAAGUAAACAAAUACUAAAAAAUUCACAGUUAUUCGGACAUUUGGUCCUAACUUUUUUUCCUUAGUUCUCAAAUGGAAGGAUUUUAAAAUUAAUUAAAAACCAAUUUUUCAGAGAAUAAUUGAAGGUCUUUCCACCUCGAUAAUACGAAUGAAAUUUAUUAAACGAUUUUAGAAAAUGUCACUCCUUGUUGAUGUAAUUUGGUAUUUUCGACUUAUAUAAGAUAUAGGAAUAUGUGGUGUGAGUGCCAAUGAGACAACUCUCCAUCCAAAUAACAAUUUAAAAAGUAAACCAUUAUAGUUUAAAGUACGGCCUUCAACACGGAGCCUUGGCUCAAACCGAACAACAAGCUAUAAAGGGCCCUAAAAUUACUAGUGUAAAACCAUUCAAACGGGAAAACCAACGGUCUAAAUAAUAUAAAAAUUAAAAACCAAUUCUUCAGAGAACAAUUGAAGGUCUUUCCACCUCGUUAAUAAGAAUGAAAUAAAGUAUAAGUGUUAGGUCACACAGGGUGAGUUUUGAAAAUCCAAUUACUGUUCAACAUCAUUGGCCAAAAAUCCAUUCGAUAUGUUGUAAGACAAAAAAGUAUCUCAGACGACAGACAAAAAUUAAUACUCAGAACAAAAUCAAAAGGUCUUUCCACGAAAAGUGGAAAGAACUUAUAAACAAAUAUGGUAUGAUAGUCAAUGAGACAACUCUCAACCACAUACCAAAUUUCGAGUUGAACUUCGAGUUUGAGUCACAUUUAAAGAUAGAGUUCCGAAUAACAAUUCGACUUCAACUUUGAAUUUGAGUCACCUUUUGACGUAGAGUUCGAGAUUAACCCUUAUUUGAUACUCAUCUAGAUUAAGAUUAAGAGUUGGAAUUCGAUUUAUCUAAUAUGUGUUCUAUUUUUGUUUUAUAUCGAAUCAAGGGCUUUUGUUCGAGCUUCCGAAAAAAGGGUCCAGGGGGAGGUAUGCGUACAAAAGAUCAACAAUUUUUCGGCAUACAGAACACAACAUAGAAAUGCAGUGGAUGCAAGCAAUCAUAUAGGCAACCGAACAGCUUUCAACACACCUCAUAGUCGGCCAUAAAAGACCACCACGUGAAAAUGUGAAUCAAUUCAAACGAGAAAACUAAGUGUCUAAAAAGGAAAAUCACAAAAAUACUGAACUCAGAGGAAAAUCAAUUUGGAAAGUCCAUAAUCACAUGGCAAAACAAAAAACAAAACGCAUCAAAAACGAAUGGACAAGAACUGUCAUAUUCCUGACUUGGUACAGGCAUUUUCAAAUGUAGAAAUGGUGGAUUAAACCUGGUUCUAUAGCGCUAACCUCUCACUUUAAUAACAGUCUCAUCAAAUUCCGCUACAUUUACAUGAUGCGUUAAAUAAACAGUCACAAUUAAUCAAAUAGUCAAAAUAUGGGUACAUCAGGCAUCAUCGUAUAACAAUUUUAGAAGGAACAAUUUAACAGGACACAAAAACAUCUACUAUCUACUAACACAUGGAUUGAUUUGAGUGUCUGACGUCAGAAACAUUAUAUACGUCACAUAAAUUUGUCGUUCAAUGUGCAUACAAACAAUUUUAAAAUUUACAUAGGCAAUGUACGCAUACAGGGUUAAAUUACAGAAAUAACCGAGAUUCAAACUAGUCCAAAAGUUAUACAUAGAAUUUAUGAGAAUCCAAAACGUUUAAAAGGAACAAAUUCCGUUACAUUUACAUGAUGCGUUAGAUAAACACAGAAAUAGACUUUAUAGCUAAACAAUUUACGAAAAACAAAUAUGACACACAUGAAACCACGACAACCAAUGAACUACAGGCUCCUGAAUUUGGUAGGCAUAUAAAGAAAGUGCACACACCAGUGUUUAACAUGUAUGUAAGCGCUAAACCCUCAACAAAACCUAGUGUGUAAUAGCGCAGCAUAAGAAGAAAAUGUAAAGACAUUUUUGAUUGGCUCAACUCAAUCAGAGGAAAAGAUGACGGGAUUGUGGUUACGACAACUGAAACCUUUGCGUUGUCACCUAUAUUUCAAAAAGUUUUUUUUUUCAAUUAGUGCGUGGUAUAUCAGAAACUGCAAUUAAUAAAAUUAAAAGUUUAAUAUUCAUAUGUUCAAAUGAACAGACACGCUAAAAAAAAAUCCGGAGAAUUCAUAUUUCAUAGAAUUGAUGCGUUGUCGCUAAGUCCCCCCCCCCACCCCAUUUCGGUUUAACUUUGGUGUGAGUUGAUUUAAAGUGUCUCAUUUGUAGUACACAUCUUUUGAUCUGUGUCGUACCUGCGAUAUUAAAUGUAGCGACAGUGUGUUACAACAAACUAAUAUGCCGUCGUCGGUAGUAUCGUCGGCGUCUUCGUCAUUUAUACAGGUUUCUAGUUUAAAUUGUUUUUAUAUUUUUCAUUUCAAAACCUUUUCAUGUUUACUAUGUGGUGUGAGUUUUGCUUAUUCUUAAAGACCAUACAGUCACACACAUAUGAUAACUUCUACGUCAUUUGGUAUGUGGUGGUGAGUUGUGUCAUUGGCAAUCAUACCAUAUUUUGUUUUAUUUCCCCUGCUGUCCGAGUUACUGUAAAUGUUUUAGUACUUUUUUCUUUUGUCUGUUGUUUACCUUUUUUCAUAUCAAAUAACUCUGAACACCAAAUUGAACUUUAAUUUGAACUUUAACUAAAUGCAUAGCGGUACUUAUCCAAAGCGCAAAAACGAAAUAUGAAAAUCGAUCUACAAAUAGAACAUAUUUUUUUCCAAAAUGGUCAAGUGGUUUUACCUCGUAUAGUAGUAAUGGGAUACUCCCAUCAAAGAAUGACAUAACCACAUCAAAUACUGACACUACACAUCACGUAGUGUAACAUCGUCCAAUUUUGAAGCAUCAUUACGUAAUAUUAAAUUCAUAUAAAAAAUUAGCAAAUCAUCAUUACGAAAUAACAAAACCACAUCAUGAAAUGAAACAAUUUCAUUACGUAAUGUCACAUACACAUCACGUAAUGUUAAAAUCAUAUUGCCUAAUGACAAAACCAUAUUAAAUAAUGGUGAAACCACAUCGAGUUAUGACAGAACCAUAUGUCAAAACUAUUUCAAGUCAAUACGAAACCAUAUCAUGUAAUAUCGAAAUAUCAUUAUGUAAUGAGUAUUCACAAUUGAGGUAUAUGAAAACAUCAUUACGUACUGUCAAAACCAUAUUAUGUAAAAACAAACUAUCAUCAAGAAAUAUUAGAACAAAAUAACGUAAUAUCAGAGUUCCACAUAAGACAGCUUUGGCGUUCCAUACCUCUGUAUAGAAUAUUUGUUUUAUUAUUUGAUAAAUUACAAUUUACAUUCAUGUCAAUUUAACUAUGGAAAUUCUAAUGCCAGUGAUAUCGCGCUAGUUUUACACAAGUGUCUUUAUUAACAAUACCAUCUCUAACGGUUUCGUAUGCAUGGUCCAUCAGAAUAUUAAUUAAUAGAAAAAAGUAUCCAAAUAACGGUAUAUUAAGAUUUUUUUCGCUUCAAUGUGACCUCAUUUUCAAAAUCUAAACUCAAUACUUACAGAACAAAUGUCAGUGAUAAUGUUUUAUAUCUGUGCUUUAGUUCGUUUCCUUUGGUUUUGUGAGUCUUGGUGUACUCCUAACAGACGUUAUACAUUUUAAUGACAACGAACAAUACAGUUACUGUAAUAUAUCUAAGUGUAAUUCUAGAUAGAAUGUGAAACGUGCGACAUGUUAAUAACGGACACGUAUUUACCAGUAGUUUAACUAAUAAAUCUUAUAAUACACGUAGUCAUGAUGAUUUGGAUUAUAAGUCCUCUAAUCUAGUUUACGGAAUUGAGUGUACUUUGUGUGGUUUGAUAUAUGAAGGCGUAACAAAGAGCAGAUUAAACACCCGAAUGAAUGGACAUAGGUCAAGUGUGAACGAUAUUCAUAACAAACAAAUCGUUUACCAACAUUUCAACCCAAUUGACCAUUCAGGAAAUUCCAUUAAAGUUCGCAUUUUAGAAAAAAAUUAUCACCUCACCAAUAAUCCAACAUUAAGUACACCGUUUCGAAGACAAAGAGAAAAAUACUGGAUCAGAGAAUUAGGUACUGCAACACCUUAUGGAUGUAACGUUAAACUAGAUACUACAGGAUACUUGAGUAGCCCUAUCUAUGAUUCAGUGAAUGUGAUGGAUUUAUUCAAUAGGUCUCGUCGUCGGCCGACACUACAAAAGUAAAAAAAAGUCUGAAAAGACCAGUUUUUGUCUGAAUUUGCAUGAAUUUUUACUCGACAUUCUUAAUUUGUCUGAAUAAUUUUAAAACAUUUUUGACAUUGUAUGAAUUUGUCUUGAUUUUUCUUUACAAGUGUCUAAACAGUAUGAACAUUGUCUUCAAAUUUCUCGACGCUUCCUGUAUCAUCUGAAAAGAGUGGAUUAGUCUCGACCAAUUCUUUACUGUCUAAAAUUUGUCUCUAUCUGUCUUGACAUAUUCGUGACAUUCUUAAUGAUGUCUGAAUAUGUCUUGACGCAUUCUUGGCAGUCUUAAAUAUGUCUUGACACUAUCUCAACAGUAUAUAUUUCGCCUGAAAUAUGUACAGACUUAUUCCGUACUGUGUAUGACAUUCUAUUGCUGUUAUAUACUCCUUUUUAGCUCACUUUGCAGUCUUAAAUAUGUCUUGACAGUAUCUCAACAGUAUAUAUUUCGCCUGAAAUAUGUACAUACUUAUUCUGCACUGUUUUUGACAUUCUAUUGCUGUUAUAUACUCCUUUUUAAUUUACUUGGCCCGAAGCGCCAAGUAACCUUUUCUCGUCACUUUGCGUCCAUCGUCCAUCGUCCGUCGUUCGUCGUCCGUAGUCGUCGACGUCGUCGUCCAUCGUCGUUAACUUUUACAAACAUCUUCUUCUCUGAAACUACUGGGCCAAAUUAAUCCAAAAUUGGCCACAGACAUCAUUGGGGUAUCUAGUUUAAAAAUGUGCUCCGGAAGGGUAAGCAGAUCCUGCUCCACAUGUGGCAUCCGUCGUGUUGCUUAUAUGAUAGCAAAUCCGGUAAAUAGUCUAAUUCGGUAGGUCACAGUCAUGAAAGGGAAGGGGAUUGUAGUUACGACGUAAGAUGUACAAACACAUCUCCAUCACCAAAACACAAUUUUGACAUGAAUCCAUCUGCUUCCUUUGUUUAAUAUUCACAUAGACCACGGUGAGCGACACAGGCACUUUAGAGCCUCUAGUUAUUAUGGCUUAACUAAACUUUGAAGAAUAAAGGAUUAAUUUGGUAAAGUAAGAAACCCUUUUGGUGCUAAUAAGUUGGAAUACUUUGAAUAAUCCCCCGUGUAGUUUGAUUUUGAUUUAUUGUUAUUAAACGUUUAAGUCAUUGUUUUGACUUGGAAUGUAAGUCGAAGUUACUGACAAACAGCUUUAGAUUUUUGCCAUUUGCAAAACUGCCAGUCAAAUUUGCUUUACUAAAAUAGGUGUCUUGUAGGCAGUUUUAUUGGGUUUGUGUAGCAAAACAAAAGAGAGGAGGCUUUCGUGUUGUCACAUAAUUUGUUCUCAUCGUGAUUCAAAAACCUUAUUAAUUUUUAGAACAACCCAAAAACAUUUUAUGAUCAAAUUUGAGUGUUUAAGUGUUGACUUUUAUAAAAUUUUUUAUCAGAAAUAAAUAUUUAUGAUAACUCCUUCCUGAAAAGAUUUUUUUUUUAAAUCUAUAUUAUGCAUAUCUGUUUGAGAUUCAUUUCAUAAGACCAAUGAUUUCUAUAGAAAACAUUGAUGGGACCCAUUAUAAAUACAUUUUUGUUUAAUUAUUCCUGGAGUGGUUGAUAAUUUUCUUUUAAUCUUUGGGAAUUAUUUCAUUUGUUUUUAUAAUAAAAUAAGUAACUUUAUAAUUCAGAUGACACAAAUCCAUUUUAAUUCAAUUUUUUUUUCAUCAAAAUUAUGAUUAUCAUAAUUUUCAUCUAGCAACAAACGUUUUAAACUGUAGCGGCAUGGUGGGUCAACUGAUAAGUUGUAUGACGGAUUACAGGUAAAGCAGUAAUUUCCAUUUGACAGUUGCAUGUUCUCUUGGUAGUGGAAUACCUUUAUUUUACGGGGAACAUCCUGUCCAUGUGUAAUGCUUAAUAUAUAUUCCAACAGAUGUCAUUUCACAAUUUUUUCUUCUGUUAAAUAAAUGAUUUGUUCAUCAUCAUAAUUUGCUAUUUAAACCAUAUUUUUGUAUAAUAAUUAUUUACCAUAUUAACAUUGAAUAUUAUCAAUGUAGAAUGAAAUUCUUCUACACUAUGCCUGGUUUUAAUAAUUUAAUCUAUAAGAUUUAGGAAAUAAAAUUUGUAUUUUUUUAAGAACCGACAUUUAAAUUGUUUUUAUAUCAACACAUCCACAUUUAAAUUAUUUUAUACAUUAGAUUUCAUAGCCAUAUUUGCAUUUGUAAAAAUAUAAAGAUACCCAAAUUUUCAAUUAUUUUACAUGCCCAACUUUCAUUUUUGUUGUAAGAAGUGUAACUUGAAACAACAUUGUAUUGUAUAAAGUGAAAUAAAGAUUAAAGUUAUAUCAUGAAUAUUUGUAAUCAUUUGUAAAACUCAGAACUGUCAAGUAAAUUAAAGACACAAUUCAAAAUUUUCAGAAUAGGUCAAGCCAUACUGAGAAAAAAAAGAGAAUAUCGGGAAUAUGUAAAAAAAAUUCUAGACAGUAUUCAAAUGUCAAGAAUUUGUCUAGAAAUUUGAUGACCAUAUUCAGAAUGUCGAAAAUAUUAAAAGAAAGAUAAUUUCAUACAAAUUCUAAAUAAAUGAGAAUUUGUCAAGAAAAAAUAAGACACAAGUCAUACUUUUAGAGAACGUCGAGUAAAAGUUCAUGCAAAUCAAGACAAAAACAUUAGUGUUAAUCUAAAGGAUGAAGACCAGGAUUUUCCAUCCAUAUUUUGGAUUCCUAAGCUUCAUAAGAAUCCUUAUAAGGAAAGGUAUAUUGUAGGUUUUUCCAAGUGGUCCACUAAACCCAUUUCUUAAGUUCUUACUGCCAUACUCACUGCAGUCAAAGAGGGAAUUCAGAAAUAUUCCGAAACGGCACAUUCAAGAAGUGGUGUUAAUCAGAUGUGGAUACUGAAAAAUUAAAAAGAGUUAUUGAUGAAUUUACAAUCUCAAUCAUUAAAACAUUGUACCAACUUAAAAACCUUUGAUUUUUCAACUCUUUAUACCACUAUUCCACAUACUAAACUUAGGGCUCGACAGGAAGAACUCGUCAGCUAAUUUUUUUUUUUAUCAAAAAGGGCACUUGACGUUUUAAAUAUCUAGUUUUGAGCUGGAAUUCAGCUUACUUUGUGUAAAAUCAUACAGAGUCAAGAAAAAAUAUACCGACGAGGAUAAAACUGCCAUGCUGUUUUUUUUAAUUGGCAACAUAUUUGUUGAAUAUGGAGGUUUGGUCUUCCAACAGCCUAUUGGAAUCCCAAUGAGUGCCAAUUGCGCUCCUCUACUUGCAGAUUUGUUUUUAUUUUCCUAUGAAGCAGAAUUUAUAUUGACAAUAUAAUGGAAUUUGAUGUGACUGUCAUACAAGUGAGAGGCUUAGCUAGCCAUAAAACAAGAUUCAAUUCACCAUUUCUACAUAAGAAAAUGCCUGUGCCAAGUCAGGAAUAUGACAGUUGUUAUCCAUAUGUUUUAUGUGUUUCGAACUUUUGAUUUUGCCAUUUGAUUUUGGACUUUCCUUUUUGAAUUUUCCUCGGAGUUCAGUAUUUUUUGUGUUUUUACUUUUUAUCCAAGGGCUUGUACAGAAAGGAGAAAAGACAUAAACCCAGUCUUUUAAUUUCACCUUUCGGUAUAUUGAUGAUUAACUGUCUCUUUAAAUAAUAAUGAACUCAGUGAUCACUUACAUUUAAUAUAUCUAAGUGAACUUGGAAUUAAAGAUACUACCGACACAGAUAAAUCUGCUUCAUAUUUAGACCUUUUCUCGAAAUGAACUACUGAUUUAGGUUGAAUACCAAAAUUUAUGACGAUCGCGAUGAUUUUAAUUUUCCUAUAGUCAACUUUCCAUUUCUGUGCAGCAACAUCCCAGCGUCACCAGUAUAUGGUAAUAUAUAUAUAUAUAUAUAUAUAUAUGGUAAUAAUUGACACCUUACUCUAGAGCUAGCUCAAAGUACGUUGAUUUUAUUGAACGAGGAAUACGGCUUUCUCAAAAGUUGCUAAGCCAGGGCUAUAAUUCAAUCAAAUUCAGUUCAUCACUCAGGAAAUUUCACGGUCGCUGUCAUGAGCUAAUUGGCCAUUAUGACAAAAGUGUUUAAGAAAUCAUAUCUGAUAUUCUUCCUUAGUCAUAAUAACCUUCCAUCAUUACCGAACUGAACAAAUAAAUAACACGACGGGUGCCGUAUACGGUGCAGGAAAUGCUUACCCUUCCGGAGCACCUGAUUUCUCCCGGUUUUUAGUGGAGUUCGUGUUGUUUUUAAUUGUUAUUUAUAACUGUUGAUGUAAAUGUCCUAUGAUUUUGUGAGUCUUUGUUUACACCUUGGUUUUGAUUGUUAUUGUCUUUGGAUCUUAAUGUUUUUAAACUUUUCAAACAUAUGUUUUAUCCAUAUCUGAUUAUAGUGUUUUAUCCAAGUCAAAGGAAACUUUACUGUAAAAAUUGGUGAUUUCAUCCAAAGAAAAAAACAUAAGAUAAAUAUCAAACAUGGGGAUAUAAUACGGAUCAGAGACAGUUGGAAAG